AGUGAACGCUGGCGGUAGGCCUAACACAUGCAAGUCGAACGGCAGCACAGUAAGAGCUUGCUCUUACGGGUGGCGAGUGGCGGACGGGUGAGGAAUACAUCGGAAUCUACUUUUUCGUGGGGGAUAACGUAGGGAAACUUACGCUAAUACCGCAUACGACCUACGGGUGAAAGCAGGGGAUCUUCGGACCUUGCGCGAUCGAAUGAGCCGAUGUCGGAUUAGCUAGUUGGCGGGGUAAAGGCCCACCAAGGCGACGAUCCGUAGCUGGUCUGAGAGGAUGAUCAGCCACACUGGAACUGAGACACGGUCCAGACUCCUACGGGAGGCAGCAGUGGGGAAUAUUGGACAAUGGGCGCAAGCCUGAUCCAGCCAUACCGCGUGGGUGAAGAAGGCCUUCGGGUUGUAAAGCCCUUUUGUUGGGAAAGAAAAGCAGCGGGUUAAUACCCCGCUGUUCUGACGGUACCCAAAGAAUAAGCACCGGCUAACUUCGUG
rnacentral:rRNA from 1 species